GAGGAGACGGAGCCGGUUUGCGAAGGAGCGUUGGGCGCUGCGGUUCUGCCUGGCUCGCGCGGAGCCGUUGGAGCCUCUCCCGGGCCGGAGAAGGGUGUGUGACUGAGAUUGGGGCUCUUAUCAUACUGAGUGUGGCCCUGUUCUGCCAGAUGCUGGAGAGACCCCAACUGAGAUCUGGGCCCUGUUCUGCCAGGCACUGAAGAGACCCCAGGGAAAGAGACUCCCCAGCCUCCCUUGUAAGACUAUUCCAGAGCUGACC